rnacentral:tRNA from 1 species
GGAGUUGUGCCUGAAAUAAAGGACCACUUUGAUAGAGUGAAUUAUGAGGGUUAAAUUCCCUCCAACUCCU